rnacentral:miRNA from 1 species
UGCCCAGGCUGUGCUGUACUCUGGG